AAAACUUAAUGUAUUGUUUAUCAAAUAGUUACGGUGAUAUCAAACAAUAAGUAAAAGGGGAUAUGAGCUCCAUUGAGCCUAUCCACGUCAGCUUCAAAAAUCAACCAAUGAAAAACUUGGUUUUUGCCACGCCACACCGAUUUUGGGCAGUACUGUUGGGCUGUUGUUUUUUUAUCCGUGAAGUGAAUUAUUUGGUCCAAAAGCUCAGUCCAAGAGAAACCUUAGAACGUGAGGCUGGGUCGAUGAUUUCCUUCGACAUCUCCACUUCUAAGUGGAUCGUCUAUCUCCUAGAUCCAUAGUUUCCUCUUCUUCAAUAGAUCGUUGAUCUCCUAGCUUCGCCGUUUCCACUUCUUCAACGGAUCGUCGAUCAAUCGACACACUACUCCAUCUCUGUUCAAUGAAUCCUCCGAAAAUCUCAUUUAUUGCUUCCUUUCGCCUUCAUCCCUCUAUGUUUCUUUAUAUCUCUAUUAUUCUUCUCAGAUUUAUUACACAGAAAAAUAUUCUCUCGAUCGAUGAAUUCCAACAGAAAAUCCCCUGUUUCCGGCGAUCUUAUCUCGAAGAAACCAAACGGAAAGGACAAGUGGUGACGAUUAUCAGUUCGAUUAGCUGAAAAUUCACGAGCAUAAAAGGUUUCUACAAGCAGACAACAAAGAAAGGGAUCUCCAAGUCAAAGCCUUCUUCUCGGAAAGCCCCUCCCAAACACGCGGCGACCCAAGUUUCUGAUGCUACGCAGCGGGAGAUGUUGAUUUCGCACGACUCCCUCGAUGUCAACGAUGCCUCAAAGUUGUCACUAGCCAAGCUUUUGCCUCAGCAGGUCGUCGCCGUCUUGCUUGCGUGGCUGACCAACGUCGCCGCGAAGCUAUCCAUGGUUGGUUCCAGUUUCGAUCGGAAGCAUUUGAAAAGCUAAUAAAAGUUUACCACAUUCACAGUUUCAAAUACAAUAUUUCUCUCUGAUAUUUUCAUCCCCAUGACCUUUGCUUGAUUUCUCUUUAUUUGCUUCUCCGGUAACAACAAAAGGUAAAGGGGCGAGAAGAAGGCGCAUACGACAUACCACCAUUCUCUCUACUAUAGGAGAAGCACGCGCAAGAGCCUGGCAAGUGGCAACUCCACCAGUAGCAGUAAUUUGCUUUUCUCGGCUUAUAUCUUUUUUUUCUUCUUUUUUAUAAAUAUGUGUUUCGUUAUGUAUAGAUUCAAAUGUCGUUGGUCAGAUUUUUUUUCAAUUCAGAGGGAAGAUUUGGUAUGUUUUUCUUUCUGAGGAUUUUGUAGAUCGGACAAGGGAUGUACAUUAGUGUGUUCGGUGCACGAGAGCCUGAAACAGGAAGAAUACUGGCUUUGAAGAAGGCUAGGUUUGACAAUUUUGAGGCAGAUAGUGUUAGGUCCAUCAAAAGACAGAUUGUGAUACUUAGGAGACUUAAUCAAUGUUUUCUCUUAAAUCAAAAGCUAAUUGUAGGACUUAGCAUUUGGGUAUUUCGAGCAUAUAUAAAGGUAUAGGUCUUAAGAAAGAAUGGGCAAGUUAAAUGUUUUAUGAGUCAUGGUAUUCUUGCAUGAAUAAGGUACGUUCUCAUAUGUAUUCACACCAAUCCUUGGCUUUUUUUUUUCUUGAUUAGAAACCGACGGAAUUACAUUUUUGGUCAGGGGUUCGAAGAGAUACAUGCAAGAUGUAAAUGCUUGUGUGCUAAACUAAAAGUAGACGCAUUAGCACGUGCCAGGAAAGAGUUUGUGCAUAAAAGUAACGGGUUUGUUCUUUGCAGAAGUCUAAUAAAGUGGAGAAAGAUCAUGAAAGGAGCUACAUUUGGUGGCUGAUGGUCAAAAGGGUUUUGUAAAUUUGGUAUCAUUUUGGUUGGGGAAAAGAAACAUGAGGCAAUGUAAGUUUAUAUUAUGAUAUGAACUCCAAAGUUAUUGUAUGUUAUUCUUACACCCAACAACUUCAAAAGCACAAGAGAAGUGAAUAAGUGAUGUACUACUAUGAAAACCUUCUGUAAUUGUAACUCAAUAAUAACAAUGAAGGUAAAUAAUAAUUUUCUUUUGGUUACAA